rnacentral:rRNA from 1 species
AGCGAACGCUGGCGGCAGGCCUAAUACAUGCAAGUCGAACGGCUCUUCGGAGUAGUGGCGGACGGGUGAGUAACGCGGGGGAAUGUGCCCUUUGGUACGGAACAACACAGGGAAACUUGUGCUAAUACCGUAUGGGCCCUUCGGGGGAAAGAUUUUUCGCCAUUGGAGGAGCCACCGUUGGAUUAGGUAGUGGGUGAGGUAAAGACUCACCAAGCCUACGAUCCAUAGCUGGUCUGGGAGGAUGACCAGCCACACUGGGACGGAGACACGGCCCAGACUCCUACGGGAGGCAGCAGUAGGGAAUCUUGCGCAAUGGGCGAAAGCCUGACGCAGCCAUGCCGCGUAUGAUGAAGGUCUUAGGAUUGUAAAAUACUUUCACCGGGGAAGAUAAUGACGGUACCCGGAGAAGAAGCCCCGGCUAACUUCGUGCCAGCCGCCGCCGUAAAAC